rnacentral:rRNA from 1 species
UACAGAGGUCCCAAGCGUUGUUCGGAUUCACUGGGCGUAAAGGGUGCGUAGGUGGCGGGGUAAGUCGGAUGUGAAAUCUCCGAGCUCAACUCGGAAAUGGCAUUGGAAACUACCUUGCUCGAGGGUUGGAGGGGGGACUGGAAUACUUGGUGUAGCAGUGAAAUGCGUAGAUAUCAAGUGGAACACCAGUGGCGAAGGCGAGUCCCUGGACAACUCCUGACACUGAGGCACGAAAGCGUGGGGAGCAAACAGG